UACGUAGGGCGCAAGCGUUGUCCGGAUUUAUUGGGCGUAAAGAGCUCGUAGGCGGUUUGUCGCGUCUUCCGUGAAAACUGGGGGCUUAACUUCCAGCUUGCGGUGGAUACGGGCUGACUGGAGUGCGGCAGGGGAGACUGGAAUUCCUGGUGUAGCGGUGAAAUGCGCAGAUAUCGGGAAGAACACCCGUGGCGAAGGCGGCUCUCUGGGACGGUACUGACGCUGAGACGCGAAAGCGUGGGGAGCGAACGAGG
rnacentral:rRNA from 1 species